GAGAUACCCUUAUGGGGCAGGACUUGCUUCAGUGGGGCUUUGGUGCUCACUGAGUCUGCUCCUUGAGUGUGUCGCU
rnacentral:pre_miRNA from 1 species